CGCUGUCCUUCCGCAGCAUAAAGAACCCGGAGUCCUUUUCGUCGGGAGAAGGGGGAGCACUGUGAUCUUCAAAAUUCUCAUCUGGAAUGCUGCAAUAAUCCACACAGCACAAAUCACACUUUCCUUUAUAAGGAUUUGGCUCUUGUUUUGAAAGAGAAGGGGUCCACCUUGAGCUCCGUGUCCGGAGAAACUGAGCCGUACUCACUGCUGCUGCUCGUGUCCUCCACCAGGACGGGGACUGGCAAGGAUAUGCUCCUAAGGUUUAUCCCCCAGACCUCAUCAUUACAUAGCAGUAGCUCAAGUUCAUGUCCACAUACACCUGCACAUGUCUGCUCUCAGCUUAAAUCAGCAAAAUUCCUGGACGGAAGCAUUUCACCUGGCCAAGGAUCAGGCAACCACACUCCUCAAGUCACCUAUGCUUAGGAGAACAGUACUGUGAUUUAUCUUCGUUUAUAGCUUUCCCCAAAGUGGUGGUGUUUUAUGAUGUAAGUUAAAUCAAGUGGUCUUUAAAAAAUAUGUGUUGAAGCCUACUGCUCCUUUCUGUUGUCUCCGGGUCUAAAAUAGAAUUACUGAGAGAAUUUGAGUUGUUUUAAUAUAGUAGUAGGCAUCACAACUGAUCAACAGUAUAUGAAUUGAAAAGAACUGGACAAUUCAAGUAAUAUCUUAAUAAUAAAUUAUGCAAUGUUUUUAUUCAUCAGAUAUUUCAAAGAGCGCUACCUGCCAAUUGUGUUUAAUUAUCCCUCAUUGAGCAAGUGGCAAUAAAAACAGGUUUGGCCAUGUGUUCAUAUCAGUUCCCUUCACUCCA